GCAUAAGGAAAUAGGCGAAGGGCAGGUGAAUCCUCUAUUGCUCUUGUCUUUCUCAGGAAGGAUGCAGGUUACCAUGAUAAGAGAUGGUCCAUUGCACUUGGCUAGAAGUUGUCAGGGACUGGAUCACAGAGGCAGAGCAUUUGGGGCAGGGGGUGGGGUGCCCUAGGAAGAAUGGGCUGGUUGCAGACUACUGGCAAAGUGCUCUUUGGGACCUAACAGCUGCUAGAAGGGGAAGUUUAUGUAGUAUUUGCCUGGCACAUGAUGAGACAUCUGGCAAGCAACUAGGGACUGUUUCAAGAUAAACUGUGGCAAUCACAACGCUACAGAGACCCCAUAAGGGCACUACAAUUAUCAUGGCUUAAAACUGCAGACUGACAUCUCUGGAUGUGAAUGAGGCUUGAGGACAGAAGAAUUGCCUGAUCAAGUUGGAAUUUGGAAUGAGGCUACAGGACCACCUUAUCUUUAUAAAACACAAUGUAGGGAAGACUGGCCAUCAGGAAUGCUGUCUUCACAAGGAGAGGUAUGAAGAUCAAUAUGACAGAAACCCCCAGUAGCUUUGGGAAAACCAGUUUAAAAUCGUGGAGAUGCUUCAUGCACCAGAGACAAUACAUAAACAAAUUCUUUCAUAAACUUGAUCGCAGUGGGGUAAGUUCCAACUGCAUCAGCCUGACAGAACUUUGAAACAGUUUUGAGUGCUCCAAGAUAAAAGUGAUGGAGGAUCAUCUCAGGUCUGUUUUCUUUCCAAUUGCCUAGCUGGAGAAUCUCUACCACUUUGCUGAGCAGGUUUUAGUGUCAAUGACUGUGCACUGCAAGCUUAAUGCCAUCCCAUUAGGAAUGACAUCCUUCCAUUAUCACCUUUAAAAAACUACGUUCUCCACCACAACAAUAUUCUGCAGCAAACAGCCACAACUGCUAGUAUUGGAAGGGAAGGAGCUUGGUAAGUGUCGAUGGACUGGACCAGAGUUAAGGUUGCAGUGUGCAUGGGAAGUGGUGUACAAUUGUUGUGAGAAGGUUAAGAAAUGGAGGUAUUUUAAAGUGGCUUUUCACUUGGUUGUUUUUGUGGGUUUGUGCCUCAUAUGUUGUGUGUAGCAAUCCUAAUUGAUUCACAACCAUAGGUUUAGUGUAUUAAUUGAAUUAAGAACUAUGAUGGCACAAUUAAGUACUUCUUCAGGGGGCUGGGAACACUGACCAGAGAAGAUGAAGACAGGAAAUGAGAGCUCAGAAGCCACACUGAGCACCCUGGUUAAAAAAAAAAAAAAAUCUUUACAAAACAAAAACAAAAAAAAAUACCCACCUCACCCUGGCCUUUUGAAAUACAAUUCUCCUGCUAGAAGAGAGUGUGGUGGAUGUAGGAGGGGCAGAUCCCAGGGGCUAUAUGCUGCAGCCUGUCUUACAUAUCAGGUCACACCUAAUAAUCAUUGUGGUGUUAAAAUCUGUGAAUCAGCCAGGAACUCAGUGAUAUGAUUUCCAAAGUUAGCCAUGUGCAACCAGUUAUGUGCCCUUAAAGAGACAAGGUCGGUGAGGUAAUAUCUUUUACUGGA